rnacentral:lncRNA from 7 species
UCUUCAUAAAAUCCUCAAAUAGAACGCAUAAAAUUAUAGUGAUCGACAUAAAAAUAUCAUGAAAUGCAUAACACAUAGAUCAGAUGGGGUCGUCGUCGUCGGAUGCCCAAAGCCAUUGGAUCGUCGGACCAUUCACGAUGUCAGAGCGACGUCCGACUCAUCAGAGCUUAAAGAAUAGUUGGAGGUAGGAGGGGCUCGUCGUCACGCACACAUCAGCAGGGUGCCACUGCCCAUGCACGCCUCUGGCCGCCGGCGCUGCUCGAGCCUCCCAAGGCCACCGCCUCGCGCGCCCCUCAGGGAGCAGCCGCCACGCGCAUGCCUCAGGAACCGUCGCCGCGCGUCUACGGAGCCGCCUCCACCGCGUGCCCCUUGGGGAGCCGUCGUCGCGCGCACUUCUCGAAAAUUGCGGCCACCAUGCGCCUCGAGAACCGCUACCGUCGCGCAACUCUCAGGAAUCGUCUCCGCUUGUGCAUCCGGGUG